ensembl:misc_RNA Metazoa_SRP Metazoan signal recognition particle RNA
GCCAGGCAUGGUGGUGCGUGCCUGUAAUCCCAGCUACUCUGGAGGCUGAAGCAGGAGAAUCACUUGAACCCAGGAGACAGAGGUUGCAGUGAGCCAAGAUCACACCACUGCAUUCCAGCCUGAGUGACAGAGUGAGAUUCUGUCUCAA